rnacentral:misc_RNA from 1 species
UUUCCGUAGGUGAACCUGCGGAAGGAUCAUUAUCGAAUUACAUUUGAGAGAGAAAGGAACGGACUGUUGCUGGUCUUUCGGUGACGCUGGAUAACGGCCGAACCCGACUGACAUUGUGCACGUUUGUGACUUUUUCGAUCAAUAAAUUCUCCAACACACACCUGUGCACUUGUUGUAGGCUUUCGAAAGAAAUCCUAUGUUUUCACACACACCUAAUGUAUGUCUAUGGAAUGUCUUUUACAAUUAUUGAGCGCUUCUUCGAGAAGAUGGUCAGUAAAUAAAACUAUACAACUUUCAGCAACGGAUCUCUUGGCUCUC